GACGAACGCUGGCGGCGUGCUUAACACAUGCAAGUCGAACGGCAAGGCCCUGCUUGUGUGGGGUGCUCGAGUGGCGAACGGGUGAGUAACACGUGUGUAACCUGCCCUAGACUUUGGGAUAACUUCACGUAACUGGGGCUACUACCGGAUAGCAUCUCCUGCUCCAUGGUGAGCGGGGGAAAGUCUCGGCGGUCGGGGAUGGACUCGCGGCUUAUGGGCUUGUUGGUGGGGUAGUGGCUGACCAAGGAUGUGACGGGUAGGCGGCAUGAGAGGGUGACCGGGGACAAUGCGACUGCGGGAGGGACCAGAGGCGUAUGGGAGGCAGUAGGGGGGAGUCUUGUACAAUGGGCGGACGUCUGAUGCGGAGGCGCCGCGGGUGGGAUGACGGUUUGCGGGGUGUAAACCGCUGUCGCCUGAGACGAAGCGGGAGUGACGGUAAUGGGUGAAGAAGCACCGGCUAACUACGUG
rnacentral:rRNA from 1 species